AGUACUAGCUCUCAAGGGCAAAAGCUGGGAUCGCUCCAUCCGGGCACCUCGUGAGUGCCUGGCACCCUGAGAUACUUUUUGAACGAGGGAAUGACCGAAACAUUAAACAUUUAAUUUAAAAUUGGCCGUAUCCAUUAAUUUUGUUAAAAGCCAAACCUUAACGAGAAUGUGACAGCUUGGGGCAAAACCCCUCUUCUUGCACAUCCCAGCGUGGAUCUUGGAAAAAGGGAGAGCUGGCAGAGUCUGGCUUCGAGGAGGUUAGGGAUCCGGAAAUACUGAGCGACGUGCCCACGUCCACAAAAUCACAACUAGCACACUUAAAACAUGAGAACACGACACCGAAUGGAAAGGCAUCUAUUCUUAGCCUGUACACCUGUCCCUCGACAUCAGCCUUCUAGAGCGCGUAUCCUUCGUGUUUAAAUCUUCUCUAAUGACCCAGAGCAUGUUUAUACGGAAUGUAAGUAUCUCUUGUGGAUAAAUCUCUUGAAGCCCGUACCAGCGGGGAUUUUAGAUGCUACUCCAAGCUUGCAUUCGGUAGGACCAAACAUUACUACUCUUCUAGGAACUGCGUAGGAUGAUGAUCUGCCCAGAGUGAGAUGACGAUGAAAGUAGGUUUCUGACGAGAAGCUGGUGAGGCUCAGGUCGACUUAGCCGCCGGGUCACAUUGGGAGGCGAGCCUGGCCCCGGGGAACUCACAGGGUCACCUCGAGGGAAGCAGGGACUCCGGCACUUCUGCACCCUGGAAAGGCAAGGGCUUUCCACCAACUACCGCAGAAUUUUAAAAGUACAUUUGCCUUCACGAUGUCUUUGCUUUAGACUUUUCUGUGGAGUCCAGACCUAGCGCACAGGGCGGGGCCAGGAAGGGCAGGGCUGUGGUUGGGGCGGGGCCAGGGGCGGGGCCUAUGCGUGGGGCGCAGCUGGGUGGAGCCUGGGGUCCAGCAUGGCCUUGGGGGGGUUUGACUUCCGGUUCUGCUGUUUCCAGCCAGGUAUGGCCCUGGCAAGACACUUAACUGUUUCUGUGCCUUCCUGGCACUUCCAUCCAUGAAAUGAGUAAACAGCAGAACCUCCCCGGCUGCCGUCAGGGUUAAGUGGGUGGGUCUGCAUGCUUGGCACAGAGGAAAUACCAGUGAGGGUAAAUAUCAUUACUUCUGCCCUGAGGUGACCUACUGUUUCCUUCUAGAACCUGAGCUCUCUGCAUUAGGCCACCUGUUUCUCGUGAGAACAGUUAUUUCUGUGAGACUCUGGGCUCGUCCAAUUCUACAAAACCGAUGUAAUAAAUUCUGACUCAUGCACUUUGAGGCCACAUCUCCUGGGUUUGAGUCCUGGCUCUAGCACUUACUAUGGGGCCUCAGAAGCUUCUGAACCUCUCCUUUUUUCUCAUCUAUAAGGUGGAAACAAUAAUACUACUUAUCACAUAGGGUUAUUGUGAAGAUAAAUGAGAUGAUGUAUGGAAAGCACUUAGAAUAGCCGCUGCCAUGCUGCAAAUGCUCACUACCUUUUAGCUACUUCUCCUCGGACUAUUUUCCUUGACCUGCCAUUUUGCUGAAGAUAAUUAAGGCCAAGGAUAAAUUAUAAUCCACCUAAGAGAAUGCAAACUUGAGGCAGCAGAACUCCCGAAUGUCAAGAAAGUGCUUGGCUCUUUCAGAAGAGAGAAAGCACUGCAAAAAAACUCACUCAACUUUCACGAGUGAGACCAUCAGAAUCCUCAGAUCAUAAGCAACACAGAAGAAUGUCCAACAGAAAAGAUCAGUGCAGCCCCAGACAGGGCUGGCCCCAGAAUGACAGGCCAGGAACUCGAAGAUUUACUCGCUGUGUUUUUUGGUUUACAUAUAUAAUAUGGAAAGUGGGAAAA